rnacentral:lncRNA from 1 species
GGAAAAUCAUGGAGACCUGGGAAAGAAAAUCCUGCACGACUCUUCCUGUUUCUGAGGAAAAGUGGAUCUGUAAGUUUGUGGGAGCUGGGGGUGAGACCUAAUAGGAG